rnacentral:rRNA from 1 species
CUACGGGCGGCAGCAGUGGGGAAUAUUGGACAAUGGGGGAAACCCUGAUCCAGCAAUGCCGCGUGUGUGAAGAAGGCCUACGGGUUGUAAAGCACUUUCGGUUGGGAGGACUGCUUCUAGCACUAAUAUUGUUGGAAGUUGACGUUACCUUCAGAAGAAGCACCGGCUAACUCCGUGCCAGCAGCCGCGGUAAUACGGAGGGUGCAAGCGUUAAUCGGAAUUACUGGGCGUAAAGCGCGCGUAGGCGGCUAGAUCAGUCGGGUGUGAAAGCCCCGGGCUUAACCUGGGAACGGCAUCCGAUACUGUCUAGCUUGAGUACAGGAGAGGAGAGUGGAAUUCCACAUGUAGCGGUGAAAUGCGUAGAUAUGUGGAGGAACACCAAUGGCGAAGGCAGCUCUCUGGCCUGAUACUGACGCUGAGAUGCGAAAGCGUGGGGAGCAAACAGGAUUAGAUACCCGUGUAGUC